ACUCCUACGGGAGGCAGCAGUAGGGAAUCUUCCACAAUGGGCGCAAGCCUGAUGGAGCAACACCGCGUGAGUGAAGAAGGGUUUCGGCUCGUAAAGCUCUGUUGUUAAAGAAGAACACGUAUGAGAGUAACUGUUCAUACGUUGACGGUAUUUAACCAGAAAGUCACGGCUAACUACGUGCCAGCAGCCGCGGUAAUACGUAGGUGGCAAGCGUUAUCCGGAUUUAUUGGGCGUAAAGAGAGUGCAGGCGGUUUUCUAAGUCUGAUGUGAAAGCCUUCGGCUUAACCGGAGAAGUGCAUCGGAAACUGGAUAACUUGAGUGCAGAAGAGGGUAGUGGAACUCCAUGUGUAGCGGUGGAAUGCGUAGAUAUAUGGAAGAACACCAGUGGCGAAGGCGGCUACCUGGUCUGCAACUGACGCUGAGACUCGAAAGCAUGGGUGGCGAACAGGAUUAGAUACCCUGGUAGAUAGCG
rnacentral:rRNA from 1 species